GCUGAAGACUUUACUGACUGUGAUAUCACAGAAAAUGCACUGGCUGUAUGUCUAGUUCAUCUUACCAACUCUGGAAUCAAUCUGAAAGCUUGUGGUAAAGAUGACAAGGGAGACUCCACAGUGGUUCUGCAAGGAGUUUAUGAUUCUCAAGAAGUCUUUUAAAUAGCAGGGCUUCCUCCACUCUGUAUGGGUUCAGUAACAUGACAUCGGCUCUGGACGUGACCAGCCACGAAUCAGGAAACUUGAGACUGUGGAUCAGAGACCCUCCUGUGUGCUUAGGAUAAACUCCAAACAGAGCACAGAAAUCGGCCCCUGAAAAGCAGUCAAAAGCAAAUGAGAAAGGACUGUACUUGCAUCCAUGAAGCCCGACCCAGCAUAAGCAGGUGGGAGCUGCAGGAAUUAGCUAGGAGAUGGAAGGCACUUAUUACUCUGUAUCAUCAGAACACAGAUCCUUGCUUCCAGAACAACUUAAAAUCGAGAGAAAAUCCCAUGUGUGAGAGCUCUCGGGAAAACAUUAAAACGCUAAUGAACUGAA
ensembl:antisense Gm28777 predicted gene 28777